AAAUAUGGCUCAAGUGGUAAAGAACCUGCCUGCCAACGCAGGAGAUGUGGAAAAUGUGGGUUUAGUCCCAGAGUCGAAAGAUCCUCUGGAGGAGAAAAUGGCAACUCACUCCAGUAUUCUUGCCUGAAAAACCCCAUGGACAGAGGAGCCUGGCAGGCUGCAGUCCAAAGGGUUGCAAAGAGUCGGACAUGACU